rnacentral:rRNA from 1 species
UACGGGGGGGGGCAAGCGUUGUCCGGAAUCAUUGGGCGUAAAGCGCGCGUAGGCGGCCCGGUAAGUCCGCUGUGAAAGUCAAAGGCUCAACCUUUGAAUGUCAGCGGAUACUGCCGGGCUAGAGUCCGGAAGAGGCGAGUGGAAUUCCUGGUGUAGCGGUGGAAUGCGCAGAUAUCAGGAAGAACACCUAUGGCGAAGGCAGCACUCUGGGACGGUACUGACGCUGAGACGCGAAAGCGUGGGGAGCGAACAGG